rnacentral:rRNA from 1 species
AUUGAACGCUAGCGGCAGGCCUAACACAUGCAAGUCGAACGAGCGGCGGACGGGUGAGUAAUAUAUCGGGACCUGCCCAGUAGCGGGGGAUAACUACUCGAAACAGUGGCUAAUACCGCAUACUAUCGGAGCGACCGAUAUGGGAUUAGCUAGUAGGUGGGGUAAAGGCUCACCUAGGCCACGAUCUCUAGCUGGUUUGAGAGGAUGAUCAGCCACACUGGGACUGAGACAAGGCCCAGACUCCUACGGGAGGCAGCAGUGGGGAAUAUUGGACAAUGGGGGCAAGCCUGAUCCAGCCAUCCCGCGUGUAUGAGAAGGCCUUAGGGUUGUAAAGUACUUUCGGCGGGGAAGCGGUAUCUGCAGAAUAAGCACCGGCUAACUACGUGCCAGCAGCCGCGGUAAUUC